AACGAACGCUGGCGGCAGGCCUAACACAUGCAAGUCGAACGCCGUAGCAAUACGGAGUGGCAGACGGGUGAGUAACGCGUGGGAACCUUCCCUAUGGUUCGGAAUAGCUCAGGGAAACCUGGGGUAAUACCGGAUGAGCCCUUCGGGGGAAAGAUUUAUCGCCAUUGGAUGGGCCCGCGUAGGAUUAGCUAGUUGGUGAGGUAAUGGCUCACCAAGGCGACGAUCCUUAGCUGGUCUGAGAGGAUGAUCAGCCACACUGGGACUGAGACACGGCCCAGACUCCUACGGGAGGCAGCAGUGGGGAAUAUUGGACAAUAGGCGCAAGCCUGAUCCAGCCAUGCCGCGUGAGUGACGAAGGCCUUAGGGUUGUAAAGCUCUUUUGGCGGGGAAGAUAAUGACGGUACCCGCAGAAUAAGCUCCGGCUAACUUCGUGCCAGCAGCCGCGGUAA
rnacentral:rRNA from 1 species